AAGUCCAAAGAUUAGAUUUGACUGCUUGUAUCAUACUACCUAGGUGUUCAUUUCAUAUGAAAAAAAUCAAAUGGGGAGCUUCUAUUAUCGUAUGGGUUUGUUCCAAGGGAAGGCGCCAAUCCUUGUGAUUCAGUUGAGUUGUCAGUGUCACUCAAAAAAUCUGAUCAAUCCUACAAGGAGAAAUUAGAACUCUUGAAGAAAUAUGGAUUAUCAGGAUCUCAAUGUUUUCCAAUACAGAUUACUGGUUGGCCAUUGGAGUUAAUGGCUUAUGCUUAUUUAGCUGUUAGUCCUCCAAGCAUGAUAGUGCGAUUUGAAGAACAGCAUCAAAUAAAAGUAUCGCCAAGAAAGAUUCGAGAUAUCCUGAAAUAGAGGAGCAGGCAUUGUGCGAAUCCAGUAUAUUAAAAUAUAACAAUUUCUUACAG